GCUUAACACAUGCAAGUCGAGGGGCAGCAUGGUCUUUUCUUGCUAAGGCCGAUGGCGACCGGCGCACGGGUGAGUAACACGUAUCCAACCUGCCGUCUACUCUUGGACAGCCUUCUGAAAGGAAGAUUAAUACAAGAUGGCAUCAUGAGUCCGCAUGUUCACAUGAUUAAAGGUAUUCCGGUAGACGAUGGGGAUGCGUUCCAUUAGAUAGUAGGCGGGGUAACGGCCCACCUAGUCUUCGAUGGAUAGGGGUUCUGAGAGGAAGGUCCCCCACAUUGGAACUGAGACACGGUCCAAACUCCUACGGGAGGCAGCAGUGAGGAAUAUUGGUCAAUGGGCGAGAGCCUGAACCAGCCAAGUAGCGUGAAGGAUGACUGCCCUAUGGGUUGUAAACUUCUUUUAUAAAGGAAUAAAGUCGGGUAUGGAUACCCGUUUGCAUGUACUUUAUGAAUAAGGAUCGGCUAACUCCGUGCCAGCAGCCGCGGUAAUACGGAGGAUCCGAGCGUUAUCCGGAUUUAUUGGGUUUAAAGGGAGCGUAGAUGGAUGUUUAAGUCAGUUGUGAAAGUUUGCGGCUCAACCGUAAAAUUGCAGUUGAUACUGGAUAUCUUGAGUGCAGUUGAGGCAGGCGGAAUUCGUGGUGUAGCGGUGAAAUGCUUAGAUAUCACGAAGAACUCCGAUUGCGAAGGCAGCCUGCUAAGCUGCGACUGACAUUGAGGCUCGAAAGUGUGGGUAUCAAACAGGAUUAGAUACCCUGGUAGUCCACACGGUAAACGAUGAAUACUCGCUGUUUGCGAUAUACUGCAAGCGGCCAAGCGAAAGCGUUAAGUAUUCCACCUGGGGAGUACGCCGGCAACGGUGAAACUCAAAGGAAUUGACGGGGGCCCGCACAAGCGGAGGAACAUGUGGUUUAAUUCGAUGAUACGCGAGGAACCUUACCCGGGCUUAAAUUGCAGAUGAAUUACGGUGAAAGCCGUAAGCCGCAAGGCAUCUGUGAAGGUGCUGCAUGGUUGUCGUCAGCUCGUGCCGUGAGGUGUCGGCUUAAGUGCCAUAACGAGCGCAACCCUUGUUGUCAGUUACUAACAGGUUCCGUUGAGGACUCUGACAAGACUGCCAUCGUAAGAUGUGAGGAAGGUGGGGAUGACGUCAAAUCAGCACGGCCCUUACGUCCGGGGCUACACACGUGUUACAAUGGGGGGUACAGAGGGCCGCUACCACGCGAGUGGAUGCCAAUCCCCAAAACCUCUCUCAGUUCGGACUGGAGUUUGCAACCCGACUCCACGAAGCUGGAUUCGCUAGUAAUCGCGCAUCAGCCACGGCGCGGUGAAUACGUUCCCGGGCCUUGUACACACCGCCCGUCAAGCCAUGGGAGCCGGGGGUACCUGAAGUGCGUAACCGCGAGGAGCGCCCUAGGGUAAAACUGGUGACUG
rnacentral:rRNA from 1 species